rnacentral:lncRNA from 1 species
AAAAAAAAGAAGUGCAGAAAGAAACUGUCAUACAUGGUGGACUUCAAGGUCAAGGUCCAGAUGGCAGUCUCAAGCACACACCUAAAGUGGGAAUGGAGGCACCAAUUUACAAUGGCACAGUCUAAAGAAACCUCUCUGAUUGGGUCUAGUGGCAAGGGGCUUACAUGCACCAAAAGACUGGACAGGCUCCUACUUCCAGCCGUCAGGAUCCUGUUUAUCAGAAGAGCACA